rnacentral:snRNA from 1 species
GAAUGUGGGGGUGAUCUGGCCAGGACAGCUGUCCCCUCAUUGAUGGCCAGGGUAGAUUCCGCUGAUCUGGUUGGCUCCCUGUGUAGGUGCCCCCUUCUCUCUCGCUCACAUCUCUGAAGAUGGACUUCUCUUUUAGAGGAGGACAGGUCUUCGGUCAAGAGCACCCCAAUAACUAUGCCUGCCUUCUCAGACCUCCAAACAAGCCCUCUCAAAGGCAGAACGUUUACUGUAUGGCCACGCCACCCUGCAGUCACUGGAUCCCGUCAAAAAGUAAUACAUCCAUUCAAAGAAUUUUAAACUGCCUGAGAAAGUACUUUUAACU